GUCUGUAAUGACAUGGAAAAGGGAAGGAAUGUUUUUGGGUAGUAUGUCACAUACAACGCCAAAGGUUAUUCACAGAGGUGUACUAGGAAAGGUGGAUUGGUCGGAAGAAAUUUUUGUUUUCUAUUUAGACAAUCCUACCUACAGUGAUAGUGGAAACUAUCAAUGUUGUAUAAUGUUAAGAAAUCAUCAGGAGAGAUGUGGUGAUGUUAAGGUAAAUGUAUUCUCUCCCAGAAUGGUAGAAUGCAAAAAUAAGGUUUUUAAGUUAUCAAGUCCCUUUCAAUUGAAUCAUUUUCAAUCAAAGCCUUUGUUAUUAAAUGGGAAAUUUGCAACAAUAGUUUGGCAUUUUAAUGUUUCUCAGUGGAAAAUCUCAAGUAAAUUUCCACAAUGUAAGGAACAUUUAUUAAAUAUGGAACGAGGCUUAGAACAUUGGUUUGGAGGAAGUAAAGUAUCAAACAGAAAAAAAAGAGAUAUAGUAGAAGGAAUUAUGGCUGGAUUUGGUACUAUAGGAAGUAUCACCAAUUCUAUGAAUAUUCAAACAUUAAAGAAUGAUUUGGGAACUGUAGGGUUAAUAGGGGGAAAAGGAUUGCAUAUUCAAAGAGGUUUAAAUCAAAUAUUGAAAAAUAUGGUUAUGAACACAGCCUCUGUUAUUGCACCCUCUGUUCAACAUUUACAGGAAGCUACUUUGGCAUUAAUGAGAAAUGCAGAUUCAUCCCAGGUAGCCAAAGCUUGUUUAGAGAUACAAGUUGAAUAUUCUACAGAUUUUAAGGUGAUGGCACCUUAAGUAGUACCACCUUUUUCUAUGGGAGUUACAAUUUCAUGAGG